AUCUGGUUUAGUUAGGAGGCGCACAGAAAAGUGAAGGUUUCUCUCUGAGGCCUUUUUUGAGGGGACUCUGCUUAUCUCUUUGUGAUAUCCCCCAGGCAGCCUUAGACAUUU